GAAAACAAGAAAUUGAUUUGUUAAAUUAUAAUACAUUAAAGUAAACAGUAUUAAUAUCAUAAUCAAGCCUUUCUAAGAUGUGAGCCAACCAUUCAUUUAUAUACAACCCAUUCGUAAACAAUUUGUAUACGAUCAAGUAAGUAUGUUUAAACAUUAGAAUAUAAAUAGCUUUGCUGUUUGUUUUAUUAUAUUGCUGCUUUUUUAAACAGCAGCAUAUCUCUUGAGAUCAAUGUGAGUUUAGGACAUGAAGACUUCAAUGAAAGUUUCAAGAUUAGUAAAUUCAUAAUAAUUCACAAGCUAAUUUGUUUCCAGGCAUACAAUAAUUUAACAAUUCAUCGGCAACUUCAAUUAUGUUAAGCCAAGUUAUCAUCCUACUAAAUACUUUUAUCUCUGUAAAAGGCGCCAAACCAUCAUAAAAAUGAUUAACGUCUUAUUAUCAAAGAGAGUAAA